rnacentral:rRNA from 1 species
UUCUGGCUCAGGAUGAACGCUAGCUACAGGCUUAACACAUGCAAGUCAGGGGCAGCAUUGGAGUAGCAAUACUCAGAUGGCGACCGGCGCACGGGUGAGUAACACGUAUCCAACCUGCCGCUUACUCGGGGAUAGCCUUUCGAAAGAAAGAUUAAUACCCGAUGGUAUAAAGAGUUCGCAUGUUCUCUUUAUUAAAGAAUUUCGGUAAGCGAUGGGGAUGCGUUCCAUUAGAUAGUUGGCGGGUAACGGCCCACCAAGUCUACGAUGGAUAGGGGAACUGAGAGGUUGGUCCCCCACACUGGUACUGAGACACGGACCAGACUCCUACGGGAGGCAGCAGUGAGGAAUAUUGGUCAAUGGGCGGGAGCCUGAACCAGCCAAGUCGCGUGAAAAGGGAAGAAGGAUCUAUGGUUCGUAAACUUCUUUUGCAGGGGAAUAAAGUGCAGGACGUGUCCUGUUUUGUAUGUACCCUGAGAAUAAGGAUCGGCUAACUCCGUGCCAGCCGCAGC